CAUCCGAGAAGAAGUAAGCCACCCCGACGCGCAGCUCGUCCUUCUCGAUGCCAGAGGGGUCCCCGGUCGGCAGCUCGCUGUAAUUCAGGAGAGAGGAUACUGUGAAGAAAGCCACGUCAAAAGGAAGACAAUAGAUGUAAGGAGAAAGGGGUGCAACUUCAUUUCAGCUCUCUGUUAUCCACCGUGUCUCCCACAUAAUUUUGAUUGCUCAGAAACAUAUCAGAACCUUCCCCCCCCCACCUCCAGAAGUUGCAGGAACUCACACCAACUCCAGAUCCAGGCCAGUGUUUCAGCCCUCUUCCCACUGGACUGCAGUAGCAUAGCCCUGUGUUAAUAACUAACAAACAUGGCAUCCUAUUGACUUAAGAAGAGAAGAAGAGUUUGGAUUUGAUAUCCCGCUUUAUCACUACCCAAAGGAGUCUCAAAGUGGCUAACAUUCUCCUUUCCCUUCCUCCCCCACAACAAACACUCUGUGAGGUGAGUGGGGCUGAGAGACUUCAGAGAAGUGUGACUAGCCCAAGGUCACCCAGCAGCUGCAUGCAGAGGAGCGGAGACGCGAACCCGGUUCACCAGAUUACGAGUCUGCCACUCUUAACCACUACACCACACUGGCUCUUAAGCCCUUCUCGUGCACAGAUUCCUAUAGAACAGGCCACCAGCAGAUAUAUCUCAAGAGUAAGCUGGUCUUUCAUUAGGGAACUCCAAGAUUCCCUACUCUGACCUUUUGUAUGGUGGGCUUUCUUUAAAAUAGUGUCUCAUUUAGUAUGGUAGUAUUUCUUUACUGCCCCAAAUCUGAGACUUUUACUUCCAAUGAGUUUCCAGAUCUUCCCAAAUCAGGGCGUAUUCAGAAGAACGGUUUGCCAGCUGAAACCUUCAGGGGAGAGUCACCUUGCAAUGCCUUUGCUAUAUUGAAAAUAAAGAAGAAAAUUGGAUAGAAUUA